UGAGCCCAGAGAGGAUCCUGUGACUUCAUUUCUUAAGAACUUCCCUAAGCCAGCCCAUAAAACCCAGACAACCUGAGGGAUGCAGACAAAGGACUGAGACUCAGAGAGACUAAAUGACUGUAUAUUCAGUGGUACAUGUGGUUUUCAUCCUCCUCAGCAUAAGUGCCACAGAGCCCAAUGUGACUUGGAGUGUAUCCUAUUCUGUGAUGAGUACUUUCUCCACUGGACAUAUCCCAAAGCCACGUGGCCUCAUUCUCUUAAUACGGAGAACUCUACCAUUGACUCACAGAACCUAGGAAACUAAGGCAGUGUGGAAUUCAUUCACUGCUCAAGAAUGGGAAGGAAGGCUCCGAUCCUGCUCAACUGAGAGCAGCUACAGAUGACUUACCUGCUCCUUCAGGGCUGAAAGCUGAUGUUAGAAUCACCUUCCUUGGAAAUAAUCCCCAUUGACUAGAAGGAAGAAAUGUUAAAUCAUGAGGAGCCUCUGCCAUGGAGAUGGUCCUUGAUGACUAAGGGGAAUAAACAUUAAAUUGUUGUGAA